rnacentral:rRNA from 1 species
CCUACGGGUGGCUGCAGUGGGGAAUAUUGGACAAUGGGCGAAAGCCUGAUCCAGCAAUGCCGCGUGAGUGAUGAAGGCCUUAGGGUUGUAAAGCUCUUUUACCCGGGAUGAUAAUGACAGUACCGGGAGAAUAAGCUCCGGCUAACUCCGUGCCAGCAGCCGCGGUAAUACGGAGGGAGCUAGCGUUGUUCGGAAUUACUGGGCGUAAAGCGCGCGUAGGCGGUCCAUCAAGUCAGAGGUGAAAGCCCGGGGCUCAACCCCGGAACUGCCUUUGAAACUAGCGGACUAGAAUCUUGGAGAGGUCAGUGGAAUUCCGAGUGUAGAGGUGAAAUUCGUAGAUAUUCGGAAGAACACCAGUGGCGAAGGCGACUGACUGGACAAGUAUUGACGCUGAGGUGCGAAAGCGUGGGGAGCAAACAGGAUUAGAUACCCGUGUAGUC